UAAACUAGGGAUUAGAUACCCUAUUAUUUUAACUGUAAAAUAUUGACCAAAUUAUUAAUAGAGGUUCUUUAAAUUUAAAGAAUUUGGCGGUAAUUUAUCCUUUCAGAGGGACCUGUCCUAUAAUUGAUAAUCCACAAUAUAUUUUACUAAAUUUUAGCUUAUAUACCUCUGUCAUUGAAUACUCUUUAAAGAGCUUUUCUGAGGGUUUAUUUAAUCAAAAUGUUAGGUCAAGGUUUAGCGAUAUUUUAGUAGUGGUGGGUCACAUUUUUAGUAUAAUAGGAAAAUUAAAUGGAAAUUAUUUUAAAUUUGGAUUUGAUAGUAAAUCCCAUUAUUUUAUGGGGUUGAUAUUGCUCUAGAUUAUGUACACAUCGCCCGGUCGCUCUUA
rnacentral:rRNA from 1 species